AGCAGCCAUCUUCAGAUCACUUUGUAGCUCAUGCUGGGUGGCCUCAUGAAGAACACAGGUGGCAUCUGACCUUGGCCUGUAC